rnacentral:rRNA from 1 species
GAACUUAAGCCCCAGUAAACGGCGGCCGUAACUAUACCGGUCCUAAGGUAGCGAAAUUCCUUGUCGGGUAAGUUCCGACCCGCACGAAAGGCGUAACGAUUUGGACACUGUCUCAACAACAGACCCGGUGAAAUUGGAAUUCCGGUGCAGAUGCCGGAUACCUGCGCCAGGACGGAAAGACCCCAUGGAGCCUUACUGUAGCUUGACAUUGGGUCUUGGUACUACAUGUACAGGAUAGGUGGGAGGCUUUGAAACCAGGACGCCAG